ACGGAAGGCAGCAGUGGGGGAUAUUGCACAAUGGGGGAAACCCUGAUGCAGCGACGCCGCGUGAGUGAAGAAGUAUUUCGGUAUGUAAAGCUCUUUAAGCUGGAAAGAUAAUGACGGUACCAGCAGAAUAAGCCCCGGCUAACUACGUGCCAGCAGCCGCGGUAAUACGUAGGGGGCAAGCGUUAUCCGGAUUUACUGGGUGUAAAGGGAGUGUAGGCGGGACUGUAAGUCAGAUGUGAAAUAUACCGGCUCAACUGGUAGACUGCAUUUGAAACUGCGGUUCUUGAGUGAAGUAGAGGUAAGCGGAAUUCCUAGUGUAGCGGUGAAAUGCGUAGAUAUUAGGAGGAACAUCAGUGGCGAAGGCGGCUUACUGGGCUUUAACUGACGCUGAGGCUCGAAAGCGUGGGGAGCAAACAGGAUUAGAUACCCUGGUA
rnacentral:rRNA from 1 species